UAGGGAAUCUUCCGCAAUGGACGCAAGUCUGACGGAGCAACGCCGCGUGAGUGAAGAAGGAUUUCGGUUCGUAAAACUCUGUUGUUAGAGAAGAACAGCGCAUAGAGUAACUGUUAUGCGUGUGACGGUAUCUAACCAGAAAGCCACGGCUAACUACGUGCCAGCAGCCGCGGUAAUACGUAGGUGGCAAGCGUUGUCCGGAUUUAUUGGGCGUAAAGCGAGCGCAGACGGUCAAUUAAGUCUGAUGUGAAAGCCCCCGGCUCAACCGGGGAGGGUCAUUGGAAACUGGUUGACUUGAGUGCAGAAGAGGAGAGUGGAAUUCCAUGUGUAGCGGUGAAAUGCGUAGAUAUGUGGAGGAACACCAGUGGCGAAGGCGACUCUCUGGUCUGUAACUGACGCUGAGGCUCGAAAGCGUGGGUAGCAAACAGG
rnacentral:rRNA from 1 species